rnacentral:rRNA from 1 species
CAGCAGCCACGGGAAUACGUAGGGUGCAAGCGUUAUCCGGAAUUAUUGGGCGUAAAGAGCUCGUAGGCGGUUUGUCGCGUCUGCUGUGAAAACUGGAGGCUCAACCUCCAGCCUGCAGUGGGUACGGGCAGACUAGAGUGCGGUAGGGGAGAUUGGAAUUCCUGGUGUAGCGGUGGAAUGCGCAGAUAUCAGGAGGAACACCGAUGGCGAAGGCAGAUCUCUGGGCCGUAACUGACGCUGAGGAGCGAAAGCGUGGGGAGCGAACAGGAUUAGAUACCCGCGUAGUCCCUGUCUCUUAUAC